UUAGGAAUCUUCCACAAUGGGGGCAACCCUGAUGGAGCGACACUGCGUGAAGGAUGAAGGCUUUCGGGUCGUAAACUUCUGAUAGAGGGACGAAUGUUGACGGUACCUCUUGAUUAGCACCGGCUAACUCCGUGCCAGCAGCCGCGGUAAUACGGAGGGUGCGAGCGUUAUCCGGAAUCACUGGGCGUAAAGGGCGUGUAGGUGGUUUGUUAAGUCCGUUGUUAAAGGUUGGGGCUCAACCCCGGCAUGGCAGUGGGUACUGGCAGGCUUGACGGCUGGAGAGGCGAGUGGAAUUACCAGUGUAGCGGUGGAAUGCGUAGAUACUGGUAGGAACACCUAUGGCGAAGGCAGCUCGCUGGACAGCUCGUGACGCUGAGGCGCGAAAGUGUGGGGAGCGAACCGG
rnacentral:rRNA from 1 species